UCACAGUCAAUUCUCAUACAAGAGCUCGAAAAACUACAGUCCACUCGAAAACCUCGGGAAUUUUUCGUAUUCUAACAAUAUGAAGCUCCUGAAUUGCCUUCUUUGGCUGUUUUUUGCAUUCUGCGCCGUCGACCUAGUCUCAUGCUCCCUAGCGCCAGAGGACUGCAAUAGAAAAUGUAGUGUAGUAAAGGCUACUAUGAAUAUGAAGGAGAGUUUGAGCAACGGAAAAUGUGUUUGCAAGGCUUAUAACGAAAUAGAGAAAUGAAUGCGCAUAUGCUAUGGGUACAUUCCUUAUCAGGUAGUCAUUAGGUCUUCAAAUCGAAGAGUUCUGUAUCAAAUUGAUAAUCAAUUGCUAGGAAGACAUGAAAAAUCAUCAAUUUUCUCCACUGUGACUACAUCUUGCAUUACUGAAAUGAUCACGAUUAUUCUAGUUGUUUACAAACAGAAAUUAAAAUCCAUGUAAAUUGUAAUAACUCAAUUUCCUACAUAAAAUUAUGAUUUUCGCCACGAAACAGCUUGGAGCACCAUUUCAUGUAAACAAAAAUAAAACAUUUGAAAGAUUCUUGUCAAAUUGGUGUAAAAAUCGGAUAUAGAACUUGAAUAAAUCGAAAGUAUUUAGACUACGUAUGAAUAUA